UCAAAUUUGAAAUCUGGCUCUUUCAGAGUCCGAGUUGUAAUUUGAAGAAGGUAUCUUUGGGUCUGGCUCUUGUCUAUGUUUCUUGGAACAGAACGUCACAGAGGGUGAGAAUCCCGUGCGAUGAGAUGAUCCAGGCCUAUGUAAAGUUCCUUCGAAGAGUCGAGUUGUUUGGGAAUGCAGCUCUAAGUGGGUGGUAAAUUCCAUCUAAAGCUAAAUAUUGGCGAGAGACCGAUAGCGAACAAGUACAGUGAUGGAAAGAUGAAAAGAACUUUGAAAAGAGAGUGAAAAAGUACGUGAAAUUGUUGAAAGGGAAGGGCUUGAGAUCAGACUUGGUAUUUUGUAUGUUACUUCUUCGGGGGUGGCCUCUACAGUUUAUCGGGCCAGCAUCAGUUUGGGCGGUAGGAGAAUUGCGUUGGAAUGUGGCACGGCUUCGGUUGUGUGUUAUAGCCUUCGUCGAUACUGCCAGCCUAGACUGAGGACUGCGGUUUAUACCUAGGAUGUUGGCAUAAUGAUCUUAAGUCGCCCGUCUUACCCCCGGAACCCAAAAAAAUCAAAUUGGUUCCACUACUGGGGUCCUUAC
rnacentral:rRNA from 1 species